rnacentral:tmRNA from 1 species
CCCCUUGAUCGCGCGGGCGGCUUCCCCCAUAUAGGCUGGUGCCGGGUCCGCCCGGCUAUGGUGAUAAAUUGUGCCGUGAAAUAGACGCAGCGGACCCGGGGGCAGUACCCGGCGGUUCCACCACUGGCCCCGGCCGCUCAAAGGGCGGACGGGAUCAUUGACGGGGCCGAACUAGGAUCGACGUGUGUUGAAAGACGGUAUUUUCUCCCGGCCUGAGUAAGCCGUAAAACUGUUUAAAACUCAUAAGUGCCAACGAUAACGAGGCUCUUGCUCUUGCUGCGUAAUUGAUGGCCUCACGGCCUGACAUUACCCAAAUAGAACGCGGUUGGACCCACCGGGCAACAGAAGGGAUUCCA